rnacentral:rRNA from 1 species
AUUGAACGCUGGCGGCAGGCCUAACACAUGCAAGUCGAACGAGUGGCGGACGGGUGAGUAAUGUCUGGGAAACUGCCUGAUGGAGGGGGAUAACUACUGGAAACGGUAGCUAAUACCGCAUACCAUCGGAUGUCCCCAGACGGGAUUGGCUUGUAGGUGGGGUAAAGGCUCACCUGGGCGACGAUACCUAGCUGGUCUGAGAGGAGGACGAGCCACACUGUAAAUGUGACACGGUCCAGGCUCCUACGGGAGGCAGCAGUGGGGAAUAUUGCACAGUGGGCGAAAGCCUGAUGCAGCCAUGCCGGGUGUAUGAAGAGGGCCUUCGGGUUGUAAAGUACUUUCGGCGGGGAGGCGUUACCCGCAGAAGAAGCACCGGCUAACUCCGUGCCAGCAGCCGCGGUAAUAC